UACAGGGGGGGGCAAGCGUUGUUCGGAAUUACUGGGCGUAAAGGGCCAGUAGGCGGCCAACUAAGUCCGACGUGAAAUCCCCAAGCUUAACUUGGGAACUGCGUCGGAUACUGGAUGGCUUGAAUUCGGGAGAGGGAUGCAGAAUUCCAGGUGUAGCGGUGAAAUGCGUAGAUAUCUGGAGGAAUACCGGUGGCGAAGGCGGCAUCCUGGACCGACAUUGACGCUGAACGGCGAAAGCUAGGGGAGCAAACGGG
rnacentral:rRNA from 1 species